rnacentral:rRNA from 1 species
GAUGAACGCUGACAGAAUGCUUAACACAUGCAAGUCGAUGGGGAAGUGGUGCUUGCACCAUGGUAACCAUGGCGGACGGGUGAGUAACGCGUAAGGAACUUGCCUGCGGGACUGGGAUAACAGCAGGAAACUGCUGAUAAUACCGGAUAAGGUCAUUAAGCUGCAUAGCUUAGUGAUGAAAGGAGACGCCUGCGGAGAGCCUUGCGUCCUAUUAGCUAGUUGGAGGGGUAACGGCCCACCAAGGCGAAGAUAGGUAGCCGGCCUGAGAGGGUGGACGGCCAAAAGGGGACUGAGAUACGGCCCUUACUACUACGGGAGGCAGCAGUGGGGAAUAUUGGACCAUGGGGGCAACCCUGAUCCAGCAAUUCUGUGUGCACGAAGACGGUUUUCGGAUUGUAAAGUGGUUUCAGAAGGGAAGAAGGAAGUGACGGUACCUGCAGAAGAAGCGACGGCUAAAUACGUG